CUCGCUCUUUCUCGUUCCCGUUCUCGCUCUCGCUCUCUCUCCCGUUCUCGCUCUCUCUCCCUCUCUCUCUCUUCUCUUUCUCGUUCCCGUUCUUUUUCCCUGUCUCGUUCCCUCUCUCUUUCCCGCUCUCGAUCGUGGUCUCGGUCUCUAUCCCUUUCACGAUCUCUCUCUUUUUCUCUUUCUCUCUCCCGUUCCCUAGCACGCUCUCUUUCUAGUUCUCUCUCUUUUUCUCUUUCCCGAUCCCGUUCACGUUCCCUCUCUCUCUCCCGCUCCCUGUCUCGUUCUCGUUCCCGAUCUCUCUCUCUAGCCCUUUCAUCUCUCCUAUCAUCCACUCUGUCUACUCUUCGUUCCUCUCUUCUUUCAUCACGCUCAAGCUCGUCAUUCCUUCCCUGAUGUCGAAUUGGUGAGCUUGGUCUUUGAUCUACAAUGAAAAUCAAGUUUUGUCAGUGAUUAAUUUGACAGAUA
rnacentral:lncRNA from 1 species